rnacentral:rRNA from 1 species
AGAGUUUGAUCCUGGCUCAGGACGAACGCUGGCGGCGCGCCUAACACAUGCAAGUCGAACGAGCGAGAGAGAGCUUGCUUUCUCGAGCGAGUGGCGAACGGGUGAGUAACGCGUGAGGAACCUGCCUCAAAGAGGGGGACAACAGUUGGAAACGACUGCUAAUACCGCAUAAGCCCACGGCUCGGCAUCGAGCAGAGGGAAAAGGAGCAAUCCGCUUUGAGAUGGCCUCGCGUCCGAUUAGCUAGUUGGUGAGGUAACGGCCCACCAAGGCGACGAUCGGUAGCCGGACUGAGAGGUUGAACGGCCACAUUGGGACUGAGACACGGCCCAGACUCCUACGGGAGGCAGCAGUGGGGAAUAUUGCACAAUGGGGGAAACCCUGAUGCAGCGACGCCGCGUGGAGGAAGAAGGUCUUCGGAUUGUAAACUCCUGUUGUUGAGGAAGAUAAUGACGGUACUCAACAAGGAAGUGACGGCUAACUACGUGCCAGCAGCCGCGGUAAAACGUAGGUCACAAGCGUUGUCCGGAAUUACUGGGUGUAAAGGGAGCGCAGGCGGGAAGACAAGUUGGAAGUGAAAUCCAUGGGCUCAACCCAUGAACUGCUUUCAAAACUGUUUUUCUUGAGUAGUGCAGAGGUAGGCGGAAUUCCCGGUGUAGCGGUGGAAUGCGUAGAUAUCGGGAGGAACACCAGUGGCGAAGGCGGCCUACUGGGCACCAACUGACGCUGAGGCUCGAAAGUGUGGGUAGCAAACAGGAUUAGAUACCCUGGUAGUCCACACCGUAAACGAUGAUUACUAGGUGUUGGAGGAUUGACCCCUUCAGUGCCGCAGUUAACACAAUAAGUAAUCCACCUGGGGAGUACGACCGCAAGGUUGAAACUCAAAGGAAUUGACGGGGGCCCGCACAAGCAGUGGAGUAUGUGGUUUAAUUCGACGCAACGCGAAGAACCUUACCAAGUCUUGACAUCCUGCGACGGUUCUGGAAACAGAACUUUCCUUCGGGACGCAGAGACAGGUGGUGCAUGGUUGUCGUCAGCUCGUGUCGUGAGAUGUUGGGUUAAGU